UACGUAGGUGACCAGCGUUGUUCGGAUUCAUUGGGCGUAAAGGGUGCGUAGGCGGCGCGGUAAGUCGGGUGUGAAAUCUCGGAGCUUAACUCCGAAACUGCAUUCGAUACUGCCGUGCUUGAGGACUGGAGAGGAGACUGGAAUUUACGGUGUAGCGGUGAAAUGCGUAGAUAUCGUAAGGAAGACCAGUGGCGAAGGCGGGUCUCUGGACAGUUCCUGACGCUGAGGCACGAAGGUCAGGGGAGCAAACGGG
rnacentral:rRNA from 1 species